rnacentral:tRNA from 1 species
UGGCGCGGCUGGCGGGGAUCGAACCCACGACCCUUGGCUUCGGAGGCCAAUACUCUAUCCACUGAGCUACAGCCGC